AAAUACCUGCAAGCUGUUCUUUCAAAUUAGACAAGAAAUCCUGAAAAAUUCAAUGAAAGUUGACUUACAAUCAAUCUGAACAAUACUACAGAUUUAUUUAUUAUCCAUUUCUUUAAGAUUCGUGUGAAUUAAUAUGGAAGAAGAUCAUUCAUUAGGAGAUCAUCUUUCUUGGUUGAUUACUUGAAACGUCGAGACAGGAUAAUGGAUUGAGAGCACGUGCUUCGUCUCUAUCAGCUCUUACAUAAGAGGAAUUAUAGUGGCGUUUAUCUGGACCGUAUUACCUAGUGAAAAUUAUCCACGCGAACCUCAAGGCGCAUCCGGUCGCAAAUCUAUGAAACCUCCGAUUGUUAGUCCGAUAAUAUUGGUCUUAUUUUCCCACGGAUACGUGAUGCAACAAUAGUUCUCCAAUUCUUCUUCUCUAUUUAUCCAAACACGUUCGACUCAUUCGUAUAUCUUCACGAGGAAUGUUACAAACUUACAAAGUAUCUAUUUAAAGUUAAUUCGGUUAAAAGCGUUAGAGGAUCUAUAAAAAGGUGUAGAAGAUUCGUAAUAAUCUUCAAGUAUUUCAGUUCACCAAAUCCUUAGAUAGCUUCUAUAGUUUCCUCAAGUUCUUAAAACCGUAUUACCAAGGUACCUUUGAUAAUUUAUCACGCGUGUGAAGAUAUAUCUCUCAGAAUAAAUAUCUUCGUUUAACUCCUUUCAGAUCCCUCCACUUUCAAGAGCAUCGACGUUUACUAACUCUUCCCUUCGUCGAUGGAAAUUCCAACGUACACACUCGUCGAAUGAUGAAUGAACAACAGGUAACUUUGCAGCGUUUUCACUUUCUUAACAGUGUAAAUCAGGGUGACGUAAUCCAUCACGCCUACGAUCGUAGGCGAGAAUCUUAAAUUUCCUCCUCUGUUCCUCCACUUCCAAACGCUUCACUAUUUGUUCAUUCAAAUUUCAAUCCAACGAUCGAUGAACAACAGAUGAGUCUGCAACUUCUUCCGAACAGCAUAAUUAUACUCUAUCUAUAGAUUUUAAUAAUCUGUUAUUGAAUACACGUAUACGAAUAUAUUACUCCGCUUCCACAAGCAUCAUCAUUUGGUAAUUCUUCUCUUCGUUGAUUAAGACUUCGAUCUACUGAUCCAGCGAUGAACAACAAAUAAUAAUUCUUCUCCUACGUAUACUUGACCACUGCACGUUGAAUCAUCG